rnacentral:rRNA from 1 species
CCCGCGCCGUAUUAGCUAGUUGGUGGGGUAACGGCCUACCAAGGCGACGAUACGUAGCCGACCUGAGAGGGUGAUCGGCCACACUGGAACUGAGACACGGUCCAGACUCCUACGGGAGGCAGCAGUAGGGAAUCUUCCGCAAUGGGCGAAAGCCUGACGGAGCAACGCCGCGUGAGUGAUGAAGGUCUUCGGAUCGUAAAGCUCUGUUGUUAGGGAAGAACAAAUGUGUAAGUAACUGUGCACAUCUUGACGGUACCUAACCAGAAAGCCACGGCUAACUACGUGCCAGCAGCCGCGGUAAUACGUAGGUGGCAAGCGUUAUCCGGAAUUAUUGGGCGUAAAGCGCGCGUAGGCGGUUUUUUAAGUCUGAUGUGAAAGCCCACGGCUCAACCGUGGAGGGUCAUUGGAAACUGGAAAACUUGAGUGCAGAAGAGGAAAGUGGAAUUCCAUGUGUAGCGGUGAAAUGCGCAGAGAUAUGGAGGAACACCAGUGGCGAAGGCGGCUUUCUGGUCUGCAACUGACGCUGAUGUGCGAAAGCGUGGGGAUCAAACAGGAUUAGAUACCCUGGUAGUCCACGCCGUAAACGAUGAGUGCUAAGUGUUAGGGGGUUUCCGCCCCUUAGUGCUGCAGCUAACGCAUUAAGCACUCCGCCUGGGGAGUACGGUCGCAAGACUGAAACUCAAAGGAAUUGACGGGGACCCGCACAAGCGGUGGAGCAUGUGGUUUAAUUCGAAGCAACGCGAAGAACCUUACCAAAUCUUGACAUCCUUUGACCGCUCUAGAGAUAGAGUUUUCCUCUUCGGAGGACAAAGUGACAGGUGGUGCAUGGUUGUCGUCAGCUCGUGUCGUGAGAUGUUGGGUUAAGUCCCGCAACGAGCGCAACCCUUGAACUUAGUUGCCAUCAUUCAGUUGGGCACUCUAAGUUGACUGCCGGUGACAAACCGGAGGAAGGUGGGGAUGACGUCAAAUCAUCAUGCCCCUUAUGAUUUGGGCUACACACGUGCUACAAUGGACAAUACAAAGGGCAGCGAAACCGCGAGGUCAAGCAAAUCCCAUAAAGUUGUUCUCAGUUCGGAUUGUAGUCUGCAACUCGACUACAUGAAGCUGGAAUCGCUAGUAAUCGUAGAUCAGCAUGCUACGGUGAAUACGUUCCCGGGUCUUGUACACACCGCCCGUCACACCACGAGAGUUUGUAACACCCGAAGCCGGUGGAGUAACCAUUUUGGAGCUAGCCGUCGAAGGUGGGACAAAUGAUUGGGGUGAAGUCGUAACAAGGUAGCCGUAUCGGAAGGUGCGGCUGGAUCACC